CUUCCAAAGCGCGCGUAGACUGUACACGCCUGAAAGCCCAGUACCCCACCCGUGAAACUGAAUAUGGAUAUGAAUGCCAUGCAAGCAAGCAAAGCCUCAGCUCCGACUUCCCUUCCGGCUCACUCGAUCAUUCUAGAUGAUGGCCGCUUCGCCGCCGUUCGCGGUGGCCGCUUUCCUCAUCGCUUUCUUCCUCUCCAAAAUCGCCGCCGCACAGUUCCCCCAAAACUCAACCGGAACUUCCAAUCUCCACCUUCCAACGCCGUACCAGUCUCUCUGCGCCAGUCUCAUUCACCCCUCCGGUUACCCUUGCUCGGAGCACAAAAUUCAAACUAGGGAUGGCUACUUUUUGGGUCUUCAACGCGUGUCGUCUUCGAAUGUGGAUUUGAGAGCACAGCCGGGUCCUCCAGUGUUGCUCCAGCAUGGACUCUUCAUGGCAGGUGAUGCAUGGUUUUUAAAUUCUCCCGAACAAUCACUGGGCUUCAUCCUUGCAGAUGAAGGCUUUGAUGUAUGGGUUGGAAAUGUGCGUGGAACGCGUUGGAGUCAGGGGCACAUAUCUUUAUCAGAAGAGGAUAAGGAAUAUUGGGAUUGGAGUUGGCAGGAAUUGGCUCUCUAUGAUCUUUCCGAAAUGAUUAACCACAUAUAUUCGAUAACAAACUCCAAAGUCUUUAUUGUUGGACAUUCACAGGGAACAAUCAUGUCUUUAGCUGCUCUCACCCAGCCAGAUGUAGCAGAAAUGGUUGAAGCUGCUGCUCUUCUCUGUCCAAUAUCAUACUUGGAACAUAUCAGCACUCAAUUUGUAAUUAGAAUGGUUGAUGUGCAUCUUGAUCAGAUGAUUCUUGCUAUGGGCAUCCAUCAACUAAACUUUAGAAGUGAUUGGGGAAUUAACCUUCUGAAUUCAAUAUGUGAUGGCCAUGUUGACUGCAAUGACUUGCUAACCUCCAUAACAGGGAAGAAUUGUUGUUUCAAUAACUCACGCGUGGACUUCUAUCUGGAUUAUGAACCCCACCCAUCAUCCGCAAAGAACUUUCACCAUCUCUUCCAAAUGAUUCGCAAGGGUACAUUUUCAAAGUAUGACUAUGGCAUCUUGAAAAAUCUGAUCGAGUAUGGUCAGUUGAAACCCCCUGCAUUUGAUCUUAGUCUCAUACCCAAGUCGUUACCACUGUUGAUGGCUUACGGAGGCAAUGAUGCUCUAGCAGAUGUGGAAGAUUUCCAGCACACCCUCAAGGAAUUGCAGUCUACUCCACAGUUGGUUUAUCUUGAGAACUAUGGUCAUGUCGACUUCAUUGUCAGCACAACAGCCAAGGAAGAUCUUCAUGAUCAAUUGAUUGGGUUUUUUAGGUCAUGGGGAAAAUCUAGUAUAUCCUAAAGUGACUGCUUUUGGUUUAUAAAUGUAGACUACACUUGAGUUUUCGUGUGCAUAUCUUGUAAAUUACAUUGUUUUGUCUUUCUAUUGGUGAUGAUUCUAAUGAAUUAGAAAAUUUGUAGGAUCAGGUAGUAUGUAUAGAGAUAUAUGUACAGAUACAUUUCUGUAUCGUAAUUAGUUUUACUUUCUGAUUUGGCUGUGAAGCAGACGAGGGAGAAGAAGAUGAGAGAGUUUCUCACUUCUCACUUCAAGAUGGACGUGCGCAUGCGCUAACGGCUAAGUUUCAUGGUUGGCACCAGCCUCCAACACUGAAAUGGAAGGUUGUCGCAAAGCUUGCUCAUGUUCUUGGCCCGCAGCUGUUGGUUCUUGUACCUUGCAUCAUACAAGUGGCAUCCUUGUAUUCUAAUCAAGAAUAUACCUUCUCCAAUGCUUAUUCUCUGGUCACCACUGGACACCAGUCUAUCACACUUCAUUCCCAAUGACAAGCGUCUACAUAAUUUAUCACCCACAAAAACAUGUUGCAGAUUUACGAAGGACAAGUCAAUUUUAUCUCUGACAGUGGGUUCACAGGUCACCAGCACGAUGAAAAUUCAUUUGGGCAGGCAUGAGAAGCUAUUUUUAACCCGUAGCAAGCAAGAAGACACAGGACUCAGAUUGUCAGAAUCACAAUAUAACAAGGAGGAUCCGUCCGAUAUAUUCCUCCCAGAUAUUUUCUCUGAUUCAGAAUUUUCAUAUUCAUCCCCUGAAGGAAGAAAACCUUAAAUUGCGUGCCUUCAUAUUAGCCGCAAAUUAAGUACAAAGAAAAGAAAGGAAAAAACAUUUCUUGAGGAAAAAAAAACUUUCACCAUGCAA